CAUGGGAUGAGUGCUUCUGGUAACAAAGCUCUUAAUGCAGAGCCCAGUUACUGGCAUCGUUGGAGGUAGGUCAAGUAUUGAUGUGCACGUUAAGAAAGUGGAGGAAAUGCUAACGAACGUGGUGACCUGCGGUUAGCCCUCACCCUGCCCACAGGAGUUGACUGAAUGACUUAAGUUUCUUGUGACUCUGCUCCCGUGACCUUAGGACAAAAGUACACCAUUUGUCAUCUUAUGUUUUUUUAAUCUAUUGCUGGAUCUUCAGCUUGCUGUUCUUCAUCUGCUCCAUCAGCUAAUGAGUGGGAUCCCUGUGCCAUCCAGGCUCUGCCCUCAUGUGUGGGUGCAACACCGGGGAGGAGAGACGUGGUUCUGGAGGAGAUCAGAGGCUGUCUGAAGAGGUGUCUGCUGUUAGAGGAGUAACGUGACUGCUGUGUCAUUCAGCUUUCCUGCCUGAGUCUACAGGGAUGGCUUUUGCAUUGCAGGAAAGGAGAAUAUGUCAGAGUGCCUCAACGUUGGGCUUUUGCCUGGCUGGGAGCUUCAGUGUCUCAGUCCAUCUGGCACAAGUCCUUUCUAGCAGGGCCGUUGCAAACAGUGUUGAUGUGUUGAGGUAUAGCUGCACCCAGUAUUUAUUUCUGCAUGCCUUGUGCUGUGUGGUAUAUGGAAAGCUGGUAUGUGUGUGUCCUUGCUUCAGUUUGUAUCUGAUCAGCAGGCAGAGAGACAACCAGAAGAAAAUCCUGAUUUUGCAGCUGGUACAUGGCUGAGCAAAGCCUCUGGGACACCACAGUGGAUAGGGCACUGCAGAGGGAGCAGUCAGAUGCUUCAGUCAUUACUGGAAACACCCAAUGGCCCAGAUCUUCAUCCCUUGCUCUGUGCUUAAAUUACUAUGGUUCCUUCUGC
ensembl:lncRNA